CGUGGUCAAAGCUGCUGGGACCUGUCACAAAAUUACUACGAGACGCCGGAUCACCUGCCUGGGAAAAAUAUUAGCAUGACCUCCUUUUGCGAGCACCUUUACAUGUACUACAGCUUCCGGUUGGAUCCGUGCUCGACGACAGAUGACUCAAGAUCGUGUCUCAUGAGAUGCUGUAAUAAAGGAAGGACGACAACAGUCUUACGCCAAGCCCCGGAUCAGAUGAGGUGCCCAGACUUUGAUUACUGCUACAAAGGGAAAUGCGGAGCUUGGCAUUCAUACACAGGAAAGCACGCGCCGACAAUAUCUCAAACGUCCCAGCGACCACCACGCUGAGGGUACAUGGCAGCGCCUCUCAUACUUAUUUUCAGAACGAAUAAACGUUUGUUUUGAAU